rnacentral:misc_RNA from 1 species
GAUGAAGAACGCAGCGAAAUGCGAUAAGUAAUGUGAAUUGCAGAAUUCAGUGAAUCAUCGAAUCUUUGAACGCACAGUGCGCCCCUUGGUAUUCCGAGGGGCAUGCCUGUUCGAGCGUCAUUAUCACCCCUCAAGCUUUGCUUGGUGUUGGGGCCUGCUGUAAUAGGCAGCCCUUAAAAUCAGUGGCGGUGCUUCAAGGCUCUAAGCGUAGUAAUUCUCCUCGCUAUAGUGUCUAGUGGUUGCCAGCCAGAACCCCCCAAUUUUCAUGAUUGACCUCGGAUCAGGUAGGGAUACCCGCUGAACUUAAGCAUAUCAAUAAGCGGAGGA